UCCAGUCAAAGUCACGCAUGUUAAAGAAGGAAAGUCCAGAGACACGGCGCUGGAGAUCUUCUGCUAUCUGAAUGAGAUCGGUGGAAAGCAUGGUGUGGGGAGAAUCGAUAUCGUGGAGAACCGCUUUAUUGGAAUGAAGUCCAGAGACGCAGACGCUGUAAAUUACAGGGUAGAGUGAAGCUGAGCAGCGGAUCCUGACAGACACGAUUGAUGCCUUUCCUCUUCUAUUAUCAU